rnacentral:rRNA from 1 species
GAGUUUGAUCCUGGCUCAGGAUGAACGCUGGCGGCGUGCCUAACACAUGCAAGUCGAACGAAGCAGGGGGGCGGAAUCUCUCCGGAGGGGAAGCCCCCCUGACUGAGUGGCGGACGGGUGAGUAACGCGUGGACAACCUACCCCGCACUGGGGGACAACAGCCGGAAACGGCUGCUAAUACCACAUAUGCGCACGGCCCCGCAUGGGGCCGCGCGGAAAGCGCAUGCGGUGCGGGAUGGGUCCGCGUCUGAUUAGCUUGUUGGCGGGGUAACGGCCCACCAAGGCGACGAUCAGUAGCCGGCCUGAGAGGGUGGACGGCCACAUUGGGACUGAGACACGGCCCAGACUCCUACGGGAGGCAGCAGUGGGGGAUAUUGCACAAUGGGGGCAACCCUGAUGCAGCGACGCCGCGUGAAAGAUGGAGUACUUCGGUAUGUAAAGCU